CGGGAUUGAGGUGACCACGGAGCAUGUCUGAGCAUUCAAAUUACAAGCAGGGCUUCUGGGAAGAUCCUUGGGAGAAGCAAACACAGACAACUCUUACCUGCAGCAUCCCUGGGACAGGCUGCCUGCAGACUCCUGGAAAAGUCACCCGAUCUCCCCAUGCUUUAGCUUUCCACCCCAGAAGAUGGAUCAUCUGUUCUUGCAGGUUCUGCAGGAGAUGUACCACAUGUGUGGAGCACAGAGCCCAAAGGAGCCAGGGUUUGAUCUUAUCUGGGACUCAGAGGAGUCAUUAUAAGAAAAAUAAAGUUCAACACUCGUUCUUCUCUUGGAAA